GAUGAACGCUGGCGGCGUGCCUAAUACAUGCAAGUCGAGCGAACAGAUGAGGAGCUUGCUCCUCUGACGUUAGCGGCGGACGGGUGAGUAACACGUGGAUAACCUACCUAUAAGACUGGGAUAACUUCGGGAAACCGGAGCUAAUACCGGAUAAUAUAUUGAACCGCAUGGUUCAAUAGUGAAAGACGGUUUUGCUGUCACUUAUAGAUGGAUCCGCGCCGCAUUAGCUAGUUGGUAAGGUAACGGCUUACCAAGGCAACGAUGCGUAGCCGACCUGAGAGGGUGAUCGGCCACACUGGAACUGAGACACGGUCCAGACUCCUACGGGAGGCAGCAGUAGGGAAUCUUCCGCAAUGGGCGAAAGCCUGACGGAGCAACGCAGCGUGAGUGAUGAAGGUCUUCGGAUCGUAAAACGCUGUUAUUAGGGAAGAACAAAUGUGUAAGUAACUAUGCACGUCUUGACGGUACCUAAGCAGAAAGCCACGGCUAACUACGU
rnacentral:rRNA from 1 species